UACCACCCUGAACGCACCCAGUCUCAUCUGAUCUCGGAAGCUAAGCAGGGUUGGGCCUGGUUAGUACUUGGAUGGGAGGAGAUAUUCUUCCUUACUAUGUUCUUUAGGAAAGUUUGUA
ensembl:rRNA 5S_rRNA 5S ribosomal RNA